ensembl:lncRNA
CCAAGAAUCACUCCCUCCUGCACUCAGAGGUCAGAGAGGCUCUUUCUUUUCUUUUUUAAAUUAUUUUAGGCUGUAUUGAAUACAGCUGAUUAACGAACAAUGCUGUAAUAGUUUGAGGUGGAAAGCCAAGGGGCUCAGCCAUACAUAUACGUGUAUCCAUUCUCCCCCAAACUCCCCUGCCAUCCAGGCUGCUGUAUAACAUGGAGCAGAGUUCCCUGUGCUAUGCAGUAGGCCCUUCUUGGUUAUCUGCUUUAAGUACAGCAGUGUGUAGAUGUCUAUCCCAAACUCCCUAACUGUCCCUUUCCCCAUCCUUCUCUCUGGCAACCAUAAACAGAGAGGCUGUUUCUUGAAGAGGUAAUUCUGCCAGGCUCUGUCUCUGCAGCCCGAGCCCACCGUGAAAAGAAUCCUCAAAUCCCCCCUUUGGUUUUAGGUGUAACCUACCUUCUGUGUGAGGGUGGAGGAUGACUUUCAGAGUCCCUGGCAGGGUUCCGAAUGUUUUCUGUGCCAUGGACUUAGAGCUUCCUGUUUUAAAGUCUGGGAGGAUAUCGCUGUCGGGCAACAGGGUACUCUGGUCUCUGACUAAUAGAUGCCUAUGAUUAAAUUAUUUUAGACUCUAAUAAAAAUAUUUUUAGAGUAAAGUCCUUUGGGAAUUAUGCCGCGUGCUGAGCACACAGUUUUUGGUAAAUACUUGGACCUGCCAGGCCUUUUUCAGAAGCUUUUGCUCAGUGGGCACAUCCUGAGGAAAUUUAGGAGACUUAUCUUCAGAGUCAGAAGCUGGGAUUGAUUUCAGGAACCUCCUGGAGAGAGAGGGUCCUGAUGAGCUAUCUCACGGGCAGUGCUUUAGGGUUUUUUAUGUCCUUUCACCUCUCUUUAAAUACAAAUUUCCUGAAACACACUUGAAAUGACAGUCUUUCAGGGGAGAAGAUUUAUGAUGACACCACCCUCAGCCUCGCAUUCUCUGUUGCACCAUCCCCUGCACACAGAGCAUAGGGUGGCCAAGGUCAGGGUGAGUGGAAGGGAGAUGGGGAACCGUGAGCUGCUUGACCUCCGUAUGCUCACUGACCCCAGUAUUUCUUACCUUACAAAUGUUCUCCCAUAGCCCAAAGCAGAUUCUUAUUUCUUCCUGCUUGUGUUCUAAGUCACUUCAGUCAUGUCUGAGUCAUUAGGAGCCUGGUGGGCUACAAUCCAUAGGAUUACUAAGAGUUGGACAUGACUUAAGUGACUUAGCAUGCAUGCAUAGCUGAUUUACAAUGUUGUGUUAAUUUCUGCUAUACAGCAAGGUGAUUCCAUUAUAUAUAUCCACACACACACACAUUCUUUUUUAAAUAUUCUUUUCCAUUUUAGUUUGUCACAGGACAGUGAUAUAGUUCCCUGGGGGUAUGAAAUUUUUCUCACAGUCACUGUCUCCCCAGGCCUAGAGGUGAUGCUGAACCUCUGGUGAUUCUAGAGUACCUGCAAAAGAGGUACCACCUCCCUGGGGGAUAGUAAAGGAUGAUGUCACAUGAUCUACAGAGCAAACUAAUUGACCCACGAGGAUUUAACCCAAGUGUACAAGAGUGAAAGGGUUGUCAAUAUGGUCUCUAGUAGAUUGAAGAGGACUUCCUAAGUGCACAGUGGUAAAGAAUCCACCUGCCGAUGCAGGAGACACGAGAGACGUGGGUUUGAUCCCUGGGUUGGGAAGAUCACCUGGAGAAGGGCAUGGCAACCCACUCUUGUAUUCUUGCCUGGAAAAUUCCAUGGACAGAGGAGCCUGGCAGGCUACAGUCUAGAGGGUUGCAAGGAGACAUGACUGAGCAACUGAGCACUAUAGUAGAUAAAAAAUGGUCACAAAUUCUUUGAGAAGUAGCAAGGAACAAGGGGAGAAAUUGAAGUCUCCUCCCCACAUCUGGUCUGGUCUCAGUGACUGGUUCGAUCAGUCAAAUGAGGCAGAAGUGACCUUCUAGGAGCCCAAAGGUUUGCUCACAGGGGUCCUGCCACUUCCAGCUGAGGGGCUUGAAUGGAACACUUGCUCUUGGAGUCCUAAGCUACCAUAUGAGCCACCCUGAGGCCACCAUGCUAGAGAGGCCCCAGGUGAGUGGUCCAGGUGAGAUGGACAGACUCUAGGUGAGUGGUCCAAGUGAGACCGACAGGUUCUAAAUAUGAGGUCCAGGUGAGAGUUUCAGAUGAGUUCAGCCGUCCAGUGUCUCUGCCCAGGUGCCAGACAUGGUAGAGACCCACCAGACCUGGCCACCUUCAGCUGGUACCACCAAAUAAGCUCUGCUGAUGGCGCAUGGAGCAGAUGAAUCACCCGGCUGCUCAUACUCCUGACCUACAAAACUGAGAUGAAAUAACAUCCCUGGUAGUUUAAUUUUUUUGUUGCUCAGCCGGAGAUAACUGGAACACGAGCUUUACUUUCUAUUUCCUGUAGGCACUGCAAUCUUACUCUUGGUAGAAGAAUUUUAUGUUAUAUUAGUUAGUUGUGUCUGACUCUUUGCGAUCCCAUGGACUGUAGCCCGUGAGGCUCCUCUGUCCAUAGGAUUUCCCAGGCAAGAAUACUGGAGCGGGUUGCCAUUUCCUUCUCCAGGGGACUUUCACUAUCUAGGGAUCAAACUUGGGUCUCUUACAUUGCAGGCAGAUUCUUUACCGUCCGAGCCACUGGGAAAACCUACAUAAUAUGUACCAUCAUUAAAUCUAGGCCCACAUGGCAAGUUGAAAUUCAGCUAUUUGGACCAAGUUCUAUAUACAUUUAGAGGUCAGUGGGGAAUUUGGGCACCUCUCUAUUUCUUUCUGUGAUUCAUGGGUGGAAUUUUGGAUCAAACAUCUGAGGGAUUUGCCCCAAGGAGUGAAAGCAUGUUCCAUUCUCAGCCCUGAAAUGUAAAUGGUGGAUGCAAGUCCAGGAGCCAGUCUGUAAACAUAAGUGUGCAAAGCAGCAGCGAAUCCACACAGUGUGAGGAGGCUUCCUUGAGUGCAUAGCAUCGUAGGCAAAGCAGUGAUUAUGGUUGUGCUUCUGAGAGAAAGUAAUCCAGAAAGUGCAGGAAAAACGUAGGGGGAUGCCCGUAGUCAAAGCAGCCAGGAGUCCUUGGGGACCUGGCUAGGAGAUGGUUUGCAGAGUUCAGCUCAGGACAGAGGAGGCUGCCAGCAGGAAGCGCUGGUGUCCAUGCCACUGGGAGGCCCAGGGCACGAGUUCAGAGCCGUCCUCUCAGCUCCUUGUGACCUCAGCCCUCAAUAUGUAUUUUUGGGGAAAAAGGCAUCUUCUUUCACUAAUUGUGUAACUGAUUCAGUGAGGUGUCCCACCUCUUGGGGGCCCAAAGUUGACAUGGUCUCACUUAUUUUUUCAGUAGCCACAGCUGUGUCCUGACAGCUCCUUUCCCACUGGCUGGGGAUCCCCCAGUGACUGCUGUCCGUCACCAUAGCUUCCCAGUAGUGCUGGGCUGUCGGCACUGUCUGGUUCUAUUCCUAAGGCUUCGUCUUGUUUGCACAAACAUUUAAUCUUAUGAUGCGCUUCUUUUACCCACUCUUGUGACGGAUGUUUGUAUAAGUGUGUGUUGUGUAUGUGUGUGUAAGUAUGUGUAUGGGUGUGUCGUGUAUGUACUGUGUGUAUGUUGUGUAUGUGUAUAUGUGUGUGUUGUAUAUGUGCAUGUGUGCUGUGCACACAUAUGUGUAUGAGUGUGCUGUGCAUGUGUGUACAUGUACGCGUAUGUGUGC